rnacentral:rRNA from 1 species
ACGCUUCUUGUGGGGCCCGCGGCCUAUCAGCUAGUUGGUGAGGUAACGGCUCACCAAGGCUUUGACGGGUAGCUGGUCUGAGAGGACGACCAGCCACACUGGGACUGAGACACGGCCCAG